AGCUGGAGAAAGAAGGAGGGGGAGAGACU
rnacentral:piRNA from 1 species